rnacentral:rRNA from 1 species
GAUGAACGCUGGCGGCGUGCCUAAUACAUGCAAGUCGAGCGAACGGACGAGAAGCUUGCUUUUCUGAUGUUAGCGGCGGACGGGUGAGUAACACGUGGAUAACCUACCUAUAAGACUGGGAUAACUUCGGGAAACCGGAGCUAAUACCGGAUAAUAUUUUGAACCGCAUGGUUCAAAAGUGAAAGACGGUCUUGCUGUCACUUAUAGAUGGAUCCGCGCUGCAUUAGCUAGUUGGUAAGGUAACGGCUUACCAAGGCAACGAUGCAUAGCCGACCUGAGAGGGUGAUCGGCCACCCUGGAACUGAGACACGGUCCAGACUCCUACGGGAGGCAGCAGUAGGGAAUCUUCCGCAAUGGGCGAAAGCCUGACGGAGCAACGCCGCGUGAGUGAUGAAGGUCUUCGGAUCGUAAAACUCUGUUAUUAGUGAAGAACAUAUGUGUAAGUAACUGUGCACAUCUUGACGGUACCUAAUCAGAAAGCCACGGCUAACUACGUG